rnacentral:lncRNA from 1 species
GAGGAGGAGGAGGGGGAGGGGGAGGCGCGCCUUUUUGGGUGGUCGGGAGACGCGGGAGGAGAGGAGAAGAGGACGCGCCGCGGAUGGAGGAGCCCCGAGGACGGAGGAGGAGAGAGAGGCCCGGCCACCCCGGACGCCCCACGCACACACACUCUUCCAUGUCUGCCUCUGAUGUAGAGACUUCCACAAGAUGGACUGUCCAGCCACAGGGAGAGCAGGCGGCCAGAAUAACCUUAGCAAAACAAUGGAAAACUGAACUGAUCCCAGAGACUGAGCAGUGGCUGGAGAAACUAGACGAAAUAAAGAAUAUGGAUAAACUUACUUGGUAUUUGAAAGAAAUCAGAGGUAAACCGACAAAGAAGACAAACUGGGAAAAAAUGGACAUGUACUUUCAACAAAGGGACAAGAAGAAACGAACCGGGACAAUGUUAGAAAGUUAAUUGAAAAAAUUACAGUACCGAGUUAAGGGAAAGAACGGAAGUUUUUUUUUGGAAAUAAUCCCCCUUCCCUCCUUUCCUGUGUUUUCCUUACGUUCCUAUUUGUGCAUCACUCCCUUUUUGUACUUACAGUAGAGUCCCGCUUAUCCAACGUAAACGGGCCGACAGAACGUUGGAUAAGCGAAUAUGUUGGAUAAUAAGGAGAGAUUAAGGAAAAGCCUAUUAAACAUUAAAUUAGUUUAUGAUUUUACAAAUUAAGCACCAAAACAUUAUGUUAUACAACAAAUUUGACAGAAAAAGUCGUUCAAUAUGCAGUAAUACUAUGUAGUAAUUACUGUAUUUACGAAUUUAGCACCUAAAUAUCAGGAUUUAUUGAAAACAUUGACUACAAAAAUGCGUUGGAUAAUCCAGAACGUUGGAUAAGCGAGUGUUGGAUAAGUGAGACUCUACUGUAUUUCUCUCCCCUUCCCUUUUCCUCCCCCCCCCCAUGGUUUUUCCUCACAGGUAUUCCUCGUUUUUAAAUUGUUUUGUAUAUCACACUGUUUGUUUUUCACUUAUCCUUUCAAUAAAUAAAUAAAUAAAUAAAUAAAUGCUUCAGACUUGAUGAGCAUUUCCUUACAGCUCUCAAGGCUAAUUUAGAUAGAACUAUCAAAACGUCUCCUUUUCAUUUGCUUGUUGUGAAUGUAUUGUCCCGGUAGGACUCAAUGUCACCACAAAUGGAUUCUCCGAACAAUGCUUAGCUGACUCCUGCGUUCACUAAAAGCUGCGGCAUAAUUGCAACUACGGGUAACCACCACAACCAAAGACGUAAUUUCUAAUGGUUCCCCAAACAAUAACUACGAUGGCUGUGCUUUGUGUAGGUGAGGCACCCGGCUUUAAACUUCACGGUGUUUGCGUCUGGAAACAAAAGCAGCUUGAUUUCAUUAUCGCAACGUGUACGUCAUGAAACGCUGCGUCGUCUUAAACUGUUGCUUCGAACCACAAGAUGUAUGGGAAAAAGAAAAGAAAAGGCAAUAUAGUCCCAGUGUCAGAAAGUCAGAAGUGUGGGGUAGGAUUGCAUAAUAUUAUUAUUUCCUGAUCUUUCAAAAAUCAACAUAGCCCCAUUAAGAACAAUCCUGGUAUCUUAGUUUUUAAGCCUGUUCCUGAGGUUUUUUGGGGACCCUGAUUCAGAAAAUGGCAUUGGAUAAACUACAUCAGCUCUAGUUUCUUAUUUAUUUACAGUAGAGUCUCGCUUAUCCAACGUAAACGGGCUGGCAGAACGUUGGAUAAGCGAAUAUGUUGGAUAAUAAGGAGAGAUUAAGGAAAAGCCUAUUAAACAUCAAAUUAGGUUAUGAUUUUACAAAUUAAGCACCAAAACAUCAUGUUAUACAACAAAUUUGACAGAAAAAAUAGUUCAAUACACAGUAAUGCUGUGUAGUAAUUACUGUAUUUACGAAUUUAGCACCAAAAUAUCAUGAUAUAUUGAAAACAUUGACUACAAAAAUGCGUUGGAUAAUCCAGAACGUUGGAUAAGCAAGUGUUGGAUAAGUGAGACUCUACUGUAUUUACCGUAUAUACUCGAGUAUAAGACGACCCGAAUAUAAGCUGAGGCAUCUAAUUUUACCACAAAAAAAACUGGGAAAACAUUGACUCUGGUAUAAGCUGAGGGUGGUAAAUUUCAGAAAAAAAAAUAUAGUAGAGUCUCACUUAUCCAACAUAAACAGGCCGGCAGAACGUUGGAUAAGUGAAUACGUUGGAUAAUAAGGAGGGAUUAAGGAAAAGCCUAUUAAACAUCAAAUUAGGUUAUGAUUUUACAAAUUAAGCACCAAAAACAUCAUGUUAUACAACAAUUUGACAGAAAAAGUAGUUCAAUUCGCAGUAAUGCUGUGUAGUAAUUACUGUAUUUACGAAUUACGAAUAAUAAAAAUAGAGUAAAAUAAAUGUAAUAGUAGCAACAAUAAUAGAGAAAAAUAAUUAAUGUAAUAAUACCAAUAAUAAUAGAGAAAAAUAAUAAAUGUACCAUCUAUUCUCGAGUAUAAGUUGACCCAAAUAUAAGCCAACCAGGAUCCUCACCCGAGUAUAAGCCGAGAGCGGCUUUUUCAGUCUUAAAAAAAGGGAUGAAAAACUAGGCUUAUACUCGAGUAUAUACAGUAUUUACAGUAUUUAUAUUGAAGGGGACUCAGGGCGGAUCACAAUGGACAUAUACAUGGCAAACAUUCAAUGCCAUUAGACAAUAUGACAUAUAUAGACAGACAAAGAGGCAAUUUAACAUUUUCCAGCUUCCGGCUGCAUGAGGGUAUGCUCGAAUCCAGCCACCGUCCACUUGUGACACUGAGUCCUCGAUGGAGUACUUCCUCAUUCUUCCGAACGCUGCUGGAAGGUUUUAUGGUGUCGUAAAUUAGUUAAAUUAGCCUCCCCACAAAGUGGUACCUAAAUUUCCUACUUGAUAGAUGCAACUAUCUUUCAGGCUGCAUAGGCCAACAGCGAGCUAGACUAUUAAAUGGUUGGGAGCUCACUCCUACCCAGGCUGGAUUCGAACUCAUGACCUCUUGGUCAGUAACGAUUUAUUGCAGCUGGCUGUGUGUGUAUACAUACAUAUACAUACACCGUGCACACAGUCCACUUGCCUCAUUUCCAACAGACCUCACAAACUCUGAGGAUGCAUGCCAUAGAUGUGGGUGAAACGUCAGGAGAGAAUGCUUCUGGAACAUGGCCUUACAGCCCGGAAAACUCACAGGAACUCAGUGAUUUCAGAAAGUUGGAGGAACUGGCCAAACCAUGAAAAAUUCAUGGAGAUCUCCAUAAGUCGACAAAUGGGUUUGUAUUGUCUUCAUUGUUCUCGUUGUAUCCAAGGAAGGUCCUCCCAAAUAUUUGCAAUGGUUUCAAACCUAAUCUGUCUUUUCAACCCAGUUCACAGUCAUUUUUUUUUUAAAUGCUGUAUUGUGCAUGGCAUUAUUAGCACUUGAAAGUUUCUUUGUCCGCCAGUCUUGGCCAGUCACAAUCACAAUGUUGGUUAGCCUUGGAGAGUCCAGACUCGGUAUGAAUUGCUAUUAAUUAUAUCAGGAAAAGCUCUUAAUUAUAUCAGCGAAAGCAUUUUCCUAAUCUGGCCUGAAUUCUAACCACACUUGAAUGAAUGGCCUUUUUUUCAAAAAAAGUACUUUCGAAGUUGGAGAAUGACAGCUUUAAUUGAUAAGAUGACUUUAGUGCUGAAAGAAUAAAUGCUGCUUAAAAGAUCAGACCCAUUUUCUAAAAAUUCGUGGGCAUUUUUGCAGCUCAACAACACAGCAGUUGUCUUUUCUGACUGAUUGGCUGAUUGAUUUUUAGCUCUUACAAUCUAAUAUGCGGUACAUAUACAAUCAAAAUAAUAUUCAUUUUUUAAAGGGGAAAAAAUGGAACAAUACAGGGCUCAGACAUCUCUGUCCCUUCCCUGGUCUUGAUUAUAAUGAAUAGAAAGAAUUAAAAUGAGAAACAUAAUUUAUCCUACUUUUUUUCCAUGCCUGGAGCAACUUGAGAAACUGCAAGUCGCUUCUGGUGUGAGAAAAUUGGCUGUCUGCAAGGACGUUACCCAGUGGAUGCCACCAUCCUUGUGCGAGGCUUCUCUCUUGUCCGCACGUGGAGCUGGAGCUGAUAGAGGGAGCUUAUCCGCACUCUCCCCGAGUUAGAUUCGAACCUGCAACCUUCGGGACAGCAACCCAACCUUCAAGUCAGCAGUUCUGCCGGCACAGGGGUUUAACCCACUGCACUACCGAGGGCUGCAUACCAUUGUAUGUAGUCCUACCAUUAUAGAUGCAGCUAAAGAAUCCCGUGAAAUUGGAUUAAAGAGGUUGUUUGUUGAGUGUUUGAAUCCUUGCUCAGCCAUGGAAAGUCACAUUAUCUCAGCCCAAGAAAGACAACAAAUGCAAAACCUUUUCCAAACAAAUCUUGCCAAGAAAACCUUAUAAUAGAUUCCUCUUGGUGUUGCCGUAUAUCCGAAUGAACUUGAAGGUACAAAUAUGUGAAACUUAUACAAAUGAGGACACAUUUCUCCCCAACAAACUUUUCCAAA